AUGCACCCCAACUCUAAAGAAGGAAGACUUUCAAGGAAGGUACUGGAAGAAGAAGAGGAACAGCGUACAAGAACUACAAGUACACCUUUUGUGGGAAACAGCCAGUUCAAAAUCUUCCCAAUCAUCAGUUAUACUUUUCUUGGGAUUAUGAAAUUAAAACAUUCUGUACUUGGUUAUUUUCACAAGCCUUAUCAUCUUCAAAUACUCCCUCCUUUGCCCAUCCCUCAAAAGGUUAACAGUGGGAAAUUUUUCUUUAAAAGUAAACUAUGUUCUUUUCUUUAAAAUAACCGUUAUAGAGAAAUUAUUCCUUUAAGUAGUCAUGCUUUUAAAUUGCUUGGAGGUGAUUACAUAUGAACCUUCCUAUAAACUUGUAUCUCUCUCAUUUAAAAGAAAAGAGGAAGGAAAGGAAUUAGCCCAUUAAUUAUUUAAAAUACUUGGUGCAACUGUUUCUAUGAAUUAAUCCAGGCACUUGGAAGACAAUUACACUCCGUGUUAAUAUCAUUGCCAACCUUUUCCACUAUGCUGCACUCCAAAUACUAUUGUGUUUUCAAUGACAACAUUCCCUAUUACAUAUGCAUAUGAAAAACAGGCAUUUUCAUCAGAAUUACCGUAAUAGCAUUAAGAGAUUAUUUUUUCCAAUUUCCUUGGAAGAAAAUUCACUUAAAUUAGAUUAUUUAUUACUCGAUUGCUCUUGUAUCUUGCCUGUAUGUUUAGGUAACUGGAACCCGUGAAAGUAUAAACUUCAGAAUAAAAAGCAUGAUUUUAUACA
rnacentral:lncRNA from 13 species